UACGUAGGUGGCAAGCGUUGUCCGGAAUUAUUGGGCGUAAAGCGCGCGCAGGCGGCUUCCCAAGUCCCUCUUAAAAGUGCGGGGCUUAACCCCGUGAUGGGAAGGAAACUGGGAAGCUGGAGUAUCGGAGAGGAAAGUGGAAUUCCUAGUGUAGCGGUGAAAUGCGUAGAGAUUAGGAAGAACACCGGUGGCGAAGGCGACUUUCUGGACGAAAACUGACGCUGAGGCGCGAAAGCGUGGGGAGCAAACAGGAUUAGAAACGGUAGUCCGACUGACUGACU
rnacentral:rRNA from 1 species